UUUUUUUGUUUUUGAAAAUACAUACGGAUUUCCCAACAUACGACACCUAUCACUAAUAGGCUCAAGAUCUUGGCACCAAUAGUCCAAACAUUACUCAAAUCAAUACCUCAAAACUAUUGCAAGUUAAUACUAUACUUAAAUAGCAACCUCAAUUACCUACUCAUGCAAGACACACAACUCAGUGCAACAAGCCAACUCUAUAAAAAAAAUAAGCAUGAUAACUCAAGAGAGUUCCAAAAUCAUCCUAAAUAAAAGCUCUUUAAAAGAUAAAGCAUGAAAACUAAG
rnacentral:lncRNA from 1 species